AAGUCGUAACAAGGUAACCGUAGGUGAACCUGCGGUUGGAUCAUUAACAAAAUCCAAUUACAAGUUUGUGGGAAGGGGUGUCAAAGCUCUGGUACCGCAUUCUUGUUUUUAACACAAUGUGAACCGUUAUUGUCUCUGGUGUGGUUAAGAGUCUUUUUUGUUGGGGAUUAAUUUCCUACUAAGAAAGAUAGCUCUUCCCGUUUUUUACAAUUCGUUGUAAAAUCCUGGGGUAUCAUGGGGGCUACCCACCGUUAUAUUUUUAAACUUUUUUAUUUUAAUUGGUCUUUAUAACAUAAAGUU
rnacentral:misc_RNA from 1 species